rnacentral:lncRNA from 1 species
AUGGAGAGGUGUCAGCCCUUCCUGGCCCAGCUGCCUCAUCUGAGAGGAAGUCAGAUCUGCUUGGGGAGAUCUAUCUUUGCUGGAAUACCUCUGCUGGGACUUUCACGUGGCCGUUCUUUUUUUGCUCAGUCCUGCCAUAGAGCAAAUCCAGUUGCUGCUUUCCUGGCAGCCUUCAGAUCUUCCUGCACCCUAGGCUCAGCCCUGUGCAACCAGACGAGACCCUCGGCACAUGGGAUAGAUGUCCCCAGACUUCAUUUUGAAAAGAAGUCCACAUAUGAAGUGCCUGGGAGCACUGAGGACCUCACAGCAAGGCUGCCAACUUGUUCUUUGGCAGAAUGCUGUGAAUGUCACUUCUCCCACAUGGCUUCUGUGCACCACGGGGACAGCAAACAAGCAUCACGGCAUCUGCAGAAGGACCUGGAGUGCAGAAGUCUGGUGCUCUCAGUCUGUGCUGGCUUUCUCUGACUUCUCAUUUUCCCACGCCCUCAUUUCCCAUAGCCCCACAGAGUAAUGGACUGACAGAGUUAGGGAGACCCCUCUUGGGGCAGGCACAACAUAAGGGUGUAGACAGCCACAGGUUGGGAUUAGAGAACUGUAAGGAACCUCUGUUAGAGGACCUUUGAGGUUCCAUCUGUGGAUAAAUGUGGAAAAAAUUGUUUCAUGAGUUUGAUGAUCAUGUCAGAAUCAUUUUUCUGGGUUGCCAAUGUGUUCACAUUCAUAGCUUAAUAUAAAAUAUAGGCAUCAGGAGACAGGCCCUUUUAUAUUUGUGAAUAUUUUUGUAUCACCUUGUGACAGACUAAUAAAUAUUGUUGAAGGAGGGCUGCUUGACUCUGAAACAUUCUUGCCACCGUGGUAAAUGGCCUGUUCCCGGUAAGUAUGGACAGCAGUGUGCAGGGUGUCUGUACAGGUAGGGUGAGCUCUCAUCUUCAGGUGGGUGGGCAGGGGUGCUCCCUGGGGGUGGGGGUUGGGAUGCUCAGUGGAGAUGGAGGGUCCAGGCUGUUCCAAUGUCCAGCCAGAGCAACUGGAUGGCCAGAGGUGUGCUCUGAAGGGUGGGGGCCCAAGGAUCACCAGGAGGCUGCUAGGCACCUUUUGUCCAUGUUAUCCCAAGGAUAUUCUCCAGGGAACCUUGCAGUACCAGGCUAUUCCUGUCUUCAUCUGACAGAGGAAGCAAGGGAU